rnacentral:rRNA from 1 species
UACGUAGGGUGCGAGCGUUAAUCGGAUUUACUGGGCGUAAAGCGUGCGCAGGCGGCCUGUUAAGACAGGUGUGAAAUCCCCGGGCUCAACCUAGGAAUUGCGCUUGUGACUGGCGGGCUCGAGUACGGUAGAGGGGGGUGGAAUUCCUGGUGUAGCAGUGAAAUGCGUAGAGAUCAGGAGGAACACCGAUGGCGAAGGCAGCCCCCUGGGCCUGUACUGACGCUCAUGCACGAAAGCGUGGGGAGCAAACAGG